UACGGAGGGUGCAAGCGUUAUCCGGAUUUACUGGGUUUAAAGGGUGCGUAGGUGGAUUGGUAAGUCAGUGGUGAAAUACUUUCGCUUAACGAAGGAACUGCCAUUGAUACUAUCAAUCUUGAAUGUAGUGGAGGUAGGCGGAAUGCGUCAUGUAGCGGUGAAAUGCUUAGAUAUGACGCAGAACACCAAUUGCGAAGGCAGCUUGCUACACUACUAUUGACACUGAGGCACGAAAGCGUGGGGAUCAACCAGG
rnacentral:rRNA from 1 species